CUGCCCGGGAACGCCGGGACAGCUGCGGACGUGGGUCCCGGUGUCCCCCAAGUGCGGAGGGGGAGCGCGCGGAGAGAAUGGGAUCUUUUCGCUACGUAGUUUCUGGUGCUCUCAAGUCAGAGAUCUUUCUACUUCUGGCUCCCCCAAACUGGAAUUAAAGGCGUGCACCUUUCUGGGCUGGACCAAUGGCUUAUUGGGUUCCCUUGGAACCCAGGUAAACCAGAUGCGCAUGGUGUCGCAUGGUUUCGAGUUUGCUGUGGCUGGUGUCUCUGAGGUAUGCAAGCCGCUUACUGAAAGGAGAAAAGAAGAGACGCCAGGAGAGAGCUGAAAGAGACAGAAGGGAAAAUGGCCUCCUGAACAUGAGCCGCUGACUUGAUUUGCUGGCUGCUCACCUGGUAUGUCACUUAAGCGAGAAUACAGAGACUGGCCCCCAUCCACGGCCACCAGCUGCCCGGUGACAAAAGAGGCCGCAGAGGACAGCAGGAAGCACACCACGGAGGAGACCUGGGGACAGAAGAGCACACAUGCACCCUCGGAAAAAGGCUCAUCUCCACCGUUGGAAGCCACGUUCCCCUGGAACAUCUUGACCCACAGGCCUGCUGCCCGCCCCCCCCACCCCCACCCCAG